rnacentral:rRNA from 1 species
CCCUUAGAUGUUCUGGGCCGCACGCGCGCUACACUGAUGCAUUCAACGAGUCCAACCUUGACCGAGAGGUCCGGGUAAUCUUUGAAACUGCAUCGUGAUGGGGCUAGAUUAUUGCAAUUAUUAAUCUUCAACGAGGAAUGCCUAGUAAGCGUGAUUCAUCAAAUCGCGUUGAUUACGUCCCUGCCCUUUGUACACACCGCCCGUCGCUCCUACCGAUUGAGUGUGUUGGUGAGGAGUUUGGAUUGGCCUCGGAAGGUGGUUCGCCACCGUCCGUAGUUGAGAAGUUCUCCAAACCGCCCCACUUAGAGGAAGGAGAAGUCGUAACA